UGCUGUGUGGCCAAGUAGAUAGAGCGUCAGCCUCGGAUGCAGGAGGUGGCGGGUUCGAAUCCCGUCUUAGAUAA